rnacentral:tRNA from 2 species
GCGGGUGUAGUUCACUGGUAGAACGACUCCCUUCCAAGGAGUAAGAGGCGGUCCGAUUCCGCUCACCCGCU